AUACGGAAGGUCCGGGCGUUAUCCGGAUUUAUUGGGUUUAAAGGGAGCGCAGGCGGAGAUGCAAGCGUGACGUCAAAUUUCGGGGCUCAACCCCGUCUCGCGUCGCGAACUGCGUCCCUUGGUUGCGGGAAGGGGAGGCGGAACUCGUGGUGUAGCGGUGAAAUGCAUAGAUAUCACGAAGAACUCCGAUCGCGAAGGCAGCCUUCCGGCCCGUCAACGACGCUCAUGCUCGAAGGUGCUGGUAUCAAACAGGAUUAGAUACCCUGGUAGUCCGCACAGUAAACGAUGGACACCCGCGGUUUGGCCUGUAUGGCUGAGCCGCCAAGCGAAAGCGUUAAGUGUCCCACCUGGGGAGUACGCCGGCACCGGGGAAACUCAAAUGAAUUGGCGGGG
rnacentral:rRNA from 1 species